AAGACUAUGCUUUUAGAAAUCAUUUCUUUGGUUGGUGACUGGAGAAGGGUGGUUGUAAAAGCCUGGUCAUGCUAACCACACUGAGGAUCUGUAGUGUUUCUUUCUGAGCAUGACAAUGGCAGAGAGUGCUGUUCUGUGACAGCUGCUUUCUGCUGUAGAAAAGUAUCUUGUUCUUCCUCACACAAGCAAGAGAAGGAAACAUUGUCUGAGUGGC
ensembl:snoRNA U3 Small nucleolar RNA U3